ACGGUCCGCGUACGUGACUCCGAUGGUCAAAGAAGAUGAAAUAAUCGAGAGAAAGAUGAUCACGCUCGACAACUACGCUAUUUGCCACUCUUCGCUUUCAUGAUCAGCAUCCAAUCACUGAUCAUCCCUUCCUACUGGUCUCCAUUUGUCAACCGAGGCACACAUUUCUGCAACCGAGGAAGAGUGAAACAGUUCACGUUGCUUGACAAAACGUGUUGUCCCAGUCUUUUAGCUGCUGGCAGACAGAUUGUCUGCCGAGCUGAAGUAUUAACACUAACAUGGAACCGUGUGGAAGAGGAUCAUGGAUCGCUGCUGAGGGGAUCGGUCUCGACUGCGGCGGCAGGCGGAGGAGGUGCAUGCGGAGUCUCCUUCGUCAUGGCCAUACACUACGUGAGAAGUCGGUGGAGGAAGGCCCACCUGAGGGCCUGCAAGCACUGUACAAGAUAAGUCGUUGCCAAGAAGAGGGAGAGAGAUUGGUGGUGGAGAAGCGAAGACCGGUGGAUGAGCACAAGUUCACGCGGGUAGGUGGGGGACAUCAGAGUCCCAGAAGAAGAAGAAGAAGAAGGACAAGAUAGCUUUCAGAUGUAGCAGCUUCUCAGAAACUAUACGGAGUCAGAGGUGAUGAACGAGUCUGAAGUCGGCACAUGAUAAAUUCUUUUUGGGAAAAAUAAGGCAUCGAUGAUAAGCAUAAGAAAAUAAAUUCUUGACAAUGAAUGUCUCCAAAUUCAUACCGUGACAAAGAAGUCUCGGAUAAGAAUCUAAAAGCAGUAGUCAGGCGGCAUCUAUAGCUUCACAAGAGGUGUGUGUGAAGGUUGACAUCUCAUGGGGGAACAGAUUGGUGUUGAAAUAUUUUAUAGGUUUCAUGGAGACUGCUUAGAAAAUGAUAUUAUAAUUGAGAUAAAGAUGGUAUCGGGUUUCGGAUCGACGAGGAUCCGUCAUCAAGCAUGAAUUGCUGCGUAGAGAUCACGCCCGCGGACUUGAAACCGCUCGUGAAAUCCAGCGCGGGAAUGGUAGCCCCAGGUUUCGGUUCCGUCGUAACACCCCCACCCCCGUUUCUCCGCGGCGCCGUCUCACACAAAGAGAGAGGAGAGAACGGACGGGCGUGAUGUGGUGAUCUCGUGCAUCGGACGGCCGCGACGGUGGCAUCGGCGGGCACGGGCGGCGCAGUGUUGCCGCGGCGGCCAUUGGCGUACCGCCUGUGAUGGAGGGGGAAGAGAGGGGGUUUAGCUGCACGAUCUGGGUCAGACGGUAGGGAAGAGUCGGUGGAAGAGGAGGAGGGAGGUGCUUAACUUGGGUAGGCGGAGCCCUUGAUGGGCUUCCGCCCGUACUUGCGCCACGAGUACCCAUCGGAUGAGAUAUAGAUCAUCUUCCAGCUUGUUUCUGGCGCGCGUAUCGUAUCACCCUCUUCAGGCGAUCGGCUUCGUGAAGUCCAGGGUCAGGCUCCGCGCACGCGGCUUGGCCGGGGCGAGGCCCAUGGGCUGCGGCGCCGGCCUCGACGUAGAGGCCCGGUCUGGACCGCGGUGGAAUCGGGCGUGGCCGGUGCGGUGGAAAAUGGGGGUGAUCUUCUUGAACUUGGAGACGGUGAGCUCGGUGAUGUCCCGGCAGUCGAACUGCGGCGAGACGAGUCGCUCCAAGGAGCGGAACUCCGCCAUCGCCGCCUCCCCCUGGAACGCCAUCCGCUCGUCCAUCUUCGUGUUCUCACCAGAUCAACGGCCAUUAUCGCACUUGGUUUCCAAGAACCCAAAGCUAAAGCCCGGAAGAAACGGAGAGUGGUGGGCGAAGCGGGACUAGAAAUGCAAAUCGAACCGCAACUUUUCCAUCAGACGGUAGUGAUUACGUCUCAUCCCUCGUGAUGGCAUCGCCCAAAUAUGUGCGCGCCUUCUGCCACCAAGUGGUGCAGCCGGACCUCUUAAUCAAAAGGAAUGGAUUAUAUGCUUUAAAUGGAGGAGGGAUUUGGAAUCCAAUGCUUGAUUGGGAGGAUCGGAGGAGGUAAGAAGGUUAUUUUAGCACCACUGAUCCAUUUUCUUUGAGAAAUAAAGACAUUGGAAUCCUACUCAAGGCAUGUUUGUCCCCCUGCAUGUCAAUAUGAUUAAUUGACAUGCUUGGCACACAAUGCUUGACAACUCACAGUUUCACCAUAAAAAUCAUAUGAGCACCCAAGUCCUAAAUGUGUGUUUUUUUCCUCUAAUUAAUGACAUGCCAUUGCAUCUGGACCAGAAUAAAAUAGUCAAUCAGAUCCUGGAAUAUUACUACUUCGUUUGGUUCUUCGUCUUGUUGAACAUACAAACAGCUUAAACCAUACUAAUAAUUUGAAUAGCAAAGCAUUGUAGAUCUUGUUUUAUACACUUAGGUUUUGCUGAUGACUUUAAGAACUUAUUUGGCAUUUAUCAACUACAGCUUAUCUGUUAGGGUAAAAACAGUCCUACUACUGGAAGUGAUAUUAGUUCUUUGUCUGACUGAAACUUCAGUUGCUGGACACUGUCUUAGUCCAGAAAAGAAUCAUCAUAUGCUGCUAUGCAGAAAGCAUUUUGAUGUUCACUAGAUGAGAAUAGCUAGCCUGAGAAUUACUUCAAUGUCAGUAAGGAAGAGGCCAACAGUCUCAGAUCAGUGUAUUGAGAGUGAAACUACAUCAGUGAUCUGAGUUUGUAAAUGGCCAUCAAGCUAUGAACACCAUGGCAGCAUUGGAAAGCAUCCAAUGCUCAUGAGAAUUUCCAUACAAUAUGGAUCGGGUGCAUGGGUAGCAUUCUCUCCUUAUCAUUUCUUAUUCAGAACUACUUUUAGCACUUGCACAUGAGAAAGGCUUAGGACAAAGCAAUAGAUUUAGAUCUCAUUGGGAUCUGAAAACCUUCUAAAUUACCCGAUCUUCCAAAUAAACAUGUUGCACAUCAUAGGCCCAUCAAACUUCUCUAGUUUCUUGGUGUCAUGCACCUUUGUUGCUUUAAUGUUUCACAGUGACUCAGUAGGUAACAACAUCUAGGAGCUCUGUCAUUAAUGAAAAGGACCCUAAAACCUUUUGGCAUAUAAGCUUUGACACUGAAGAUAGAUCUCAUAACAAGUGUGAGCUAUGAUUCAUCAUCAAGGAACAUCUUUUGUGUAUUUUUGGAUGACUUGGCCCACAUGUUCUUAUGUUCUUGUCGUGACGGAAUCAAUACAAAUUCAAAUAAACGAGUAGCAGAAUUUCAAUUCCUCUCAAUAAAAAAUGUUAGAUACUUAAAUUUUAUGAAUAAGAGGCAAGUGUUGCAAACAAUAAUAACUCCUCAUAUUUUUUAUGUCGAGCAUUAAGUAUUCAAACAGAAAAUCAAUUCAUCUAUUUUAAGAACCAAAAGGACAAUCAUUACAAAUAUAACACCCAUGUUUCUCACCUUACUGAGAAGCUAAUAAGCAAAUUGAUAAUCUUUUUCAUGUAUCUAUAUCUGCUUGGUAUUUAGUUGCCUACUUAGUGACUACAUUUGAUAUUUCGUUUAAAAGAGAUAGUUUCUUUUUUCAUCUUGCUUGUGAAACCCUCAGUGUUCUUCAUGCACCACUAAUCUCUCUCUGUGGUAAUAUAUUUUGUUAUAUGAAUCUUACAUGUCUCCUGUUAUUUUUCUCUGUAGAUUGCAUGAAUCCUUUAAUUCUCUUGUUUCCUAUAUACAUAAAAAAAACUCUCUUCCAUAUAUGCUUAUCUAGAUUCCUCAUUCUAUAUGUUCUACUAGAGAAUUGCAUUUGUCCUCAGGGUCUAGAAUUGCACAUCUUACUACAUGGGUUAGAGCUUUAGACACACUGGAGCUACUUGAAGAGUUAUACUUAGUGAUUAGAAAAAGUGGUUACAUAAAGUUUACUGUGUAAAAACACCUCAAAACAACAGCAUGCACACUUAAACUAAUCCCUAGAGGUUAAACUCUAGGUAUAGAAGCUGUACUUGGUUAGCAGAAUCAUCAACAACAUCUUCUUGUUGAAAGCUGAGUUAUCAAAAACUCAACACUAUAUCUGCCAUUGGUAACCUGAAUCUGUACACUGUCACAGCUUUGAAGGCUGAGACAUAAUAUACAAGAGUACCUGGGAAUAAAUGUCCAUAGUGGCUUGGGAAAGGGAUAGGGGAUCGGGAUCUGUGACUCCAAUUGUUAAGUGUGCAGCUGAAGGAAGUUGCUUGUGAGCGGUGGGUACUCUCCAAUCUUUACUCCAUUCCAUGUGCCUGUUGACGGCCAGAACACGCAAGGAGGAUUCAUUCACUACUCUGCACCUAUGGUUUGCUCUGUGAAGACCCUCUCACCUGUCCCCAUAUAUAGAAUACAAAGGAAGCCACCUUCUUUCUUAUAAUUUACUCAAGUCUUUUCUUGAGAGAGAGAGAGAGAGGUGGGACAGAAUCUGAGAUGGAUUAAAGAAUAUGCUGAGGUCUUUUCUUUUGAGGGGGUAGAGAGAAAGAGAGGUGAGGUCAAAAACUGAGAAAUAGAGUACAAAGACACUUUCCUUGUGGUUAUUUCGAUGGUCUUUUUCUCUUAGGCAUGGAGACACGGAGAGAGAGAGAGGUGGGUGGACAUGGCCUGAGCCGCUUUCCUCAACACACCUCUCAUACCGUGAGAUAUCCUCGAGUUGUUGGUUUCCUUUGGUGAGAGCUUUUCACAUGGCAAUGAAAUGAGAAAGAAACUCCAAAAGAUCUGCUUCGCCUCUUUCUUGUCCAGCACAGAUUUGAACAACCCUCAACACCACCACAAGGCUGCUCUCAGGAACUUGCAGCGUGCUCCAAUCAUUCCUGUGCUCGCAUCAACCCCUCCUUUUUACUCAAAUGGCUUUGGCUGUCUCCAGCUCUUUGCCCAUCUUUUUUUCUUUGUCUCGAACACACAAGCCAUACCUCAGUUCUCUCAUAUUCCAAUUAACAGCUAACAAUAUAGACUGCUGGUUAGCAAGUACACGGGCAAACUGUUCAUGGCUGGUUCUACCAAACUUGAUGAUGAGCCUCCAUGGAUUUCCCCACGUCUCCAUUGUAGCACGGCUUUUUAGUUACAUGAAUGCCCAAGAAUGUGACAUGCUUGGAAGGUUGGAUGAACGAGUUGGUCCAGCGACUGCCUGACUUGUUCCACCUCAUCAUUCCGCAAAUUAGGUCACGAACAUGCCGCCAGUCUAUCAUAUUUCAUCAUCGCAUCGGAUGCUUUGAUAGCGUCAUGGUGGUCGGGAUCGGUCCACUCUCAUCAUCACAUGGCUUCCACAUGAUGAACAUGGCAUCAAACCUUUUGAUUCGGUAAAGAAAAGGGGGUCGAUUAGUCUGACGCAAGGAAGCUCAAACCCCAGCGAGCCACCAAACGCCACGUGGGUGGAGCAGCUUUUGCCUGCCGGGCGAUGUGGAACGCGGAGCCGUUGAAACGUUCCACCGGGGGGGAGUGGCACUCGUGUGGUUUUGCUUAAAUUGAAGGGCCUUUAGGUUGUUCGGCACCAUUAAAUCCUUCAGGGCCGCUCUAAAUCGUCAUUACUAUAUCGAAUCUCUUCGUGUAAUUGAAUGCUGCAAUUAGUGCACUUGAAUGCAUCUUCCCCAUGUCGAAUGACGGAUGUGCCCUUGCGUUUCUUAUUCGCACGCAAUCGGAUGCCUCUCUACCCCUUCGCCUUCUUCUGUGACUAUAUAACUCCUCGGCCUUCCCUCUCCCUCCAAAUUUGUUCCUCUUCUUCUUCUUCACCUCCGCCCUUUCCCAAGCUACCCGUCCAUCUCUCUCUCUGUCUCUGCAACUUCUUCGUCUUCAGUGCCCAUGGGCGCCGAGGUGGUCGUGAUGGGUGAAUUGCCUCUGGUUCCACCCAUCAAGACAACGCCGAUCCGGGACAAGCCGGCCGAAGGCCGCCGCCCCGAGGUCACCAGCACCGACGACGAUGAUUGUGUCACGCCCAAGUCGGAGGAGCACGUUCUUAAGCCCCUCCUCGUGUGCCCGCCGGCUCCGAAGAAGCCGAAGCCGGCAAGGAGAGCGCCGGUGGCUCCCUCGAGGGAAUUCUGCGCCGUGCCUCGCGAUCUUACCUCGGUCUUCCUUUCUCUCCCUCCCAAGAAGAGAAUUCGUGUAGUUUGAUCUGUUGCUUCUUCAUGGCCUCCUGUAAUUUCUUGCCUUCUUUUCCCAUCUUCUCCAUGCAUGGGAUAGAAUAGGUUGAUGUAUUCAUGUAACAGAGGAAAUUGUCCUCCACAUCUUUCUGCAUACAUAAAUACUAAACAGUGUUCUUCUCA